rnacentral:lncRNA from 1 species
AGGGAGUGAUGAGAAAGUGAGGAAAUCUCUCUAAAAAGCUCUUGAAAGUGAAAGGAGAGUGUUAGGGCUUAGGGAGACCGCUCAGGCGAAAUACAAAGAAGAGUUUCAAAGUCAAGAACUUCAAAAACCGCUCAGCUUUUAAGAAAGGCAAAGACCCACAGCGCCGCAACCGCUCAACGGUCUGCGGUAUUUUUCACUUCUUCUUCUUUGCUUUAUUUUGAGUAAUCUUUACCUUAUAGGACUCAAUUUCAACCUUCAAUUUUUCAAUUAUAUUUCUUUCCCC